AAUUAUCUCACACUUAGAGCCUUGGCAAACCUCUUGGCAUCUUUCUAGAGGUUUCUGGGAUUCUGAAAUCAGGUUUUGGUGAAGACCCAGCACAUCCUGGGUGCUCUGCUCUCCAGCUGAGGAAUGGGGUACUUCUGCCUGUGGCCAUUCCUAGAAAUCCAGAGAUGGCUUCAGGGUGGAGAGAAGAACAGACCAGCCACUUCGUAUCUGUGCACAAAAACAGGGAUGAUCCUCACCCAUCUCCUUACCAUCUCCUCUCUUCCUGGCAGCAGACAGGCUUGGCUUGGCAGGAUCACAAACCCAGGGUGGACCUGUUGGGAGGUUCCAGAAUAAAGUUCAGUCCCAAACCAACACCAGACUUGAUGUCAGAUAUCAAGAUAGUGCUGCUGAGAAACAAGGGAAAAACUUGGUAUCUGUGCCAACUUUCUUCCCCCUUCCCUCCCUCCUUCUCUCCUACUCUUUCCCCCCUCCCAACUGCUGCCAGCCGGCGUCAGCGCCGAAUUGCCAUCUCCCUCAGCUCUCUGUGGAGCAAUCUUGAGGAUCAGUAA
rnacentral:lncRNA from 1 species